rnacentral:rRNA from 1 species
GUUAAGUGACUAAGCGUAUACGGUGGAUGCCUAGGCAGUUAGAGGCGAUGAAGGACGUGUAAGUCUGCGAAAAGUUGUGGGGAGCCGACAAAAUGCUUUGAUCCACAAAUGUCCGAAUGGGGAAACCCACCGCUUCGGCGGUAUUGUAACGUGAAUACAUAGCGUUAUGAGGCAAACGAGGGGAACUGAAACAUCUAAGUACCCUUAGGAAAAGAAAUCAACCGAGA